UUUUGGUCGACGAAGGCAUCACAGUUGCCGAACUCUGGUCAUCACUGGUGCAGAUUCGUAAUCACAAGAUCCCACCCGAACAUAUAUAUUCAUUCAUCUACCAGUGGCAUCGUGACAUAAAAUAUGCUCAUCUGAUGUUGAACGACUCACCAAUUUUGACUCUACUGACGUACCGGCUUACUGAAUCGUCAGCGAUACCGUCAUCAUCAACUGAAUCGUCGUCUAAUUUCCAAUGGCCCAGCAAGAAAAACCGGCCAAUCAAUACCGACGAGUACAUUUUAUAGCAAAUCUAACUGUGAUACAACAACGAAACAGGAAACGUCGCCAGAUAAGUCGUCACAUGAGGCGGACCUGUAUCGAAAAUCAAAAUCGUCUCUGUUGGAUCCGGCUGAUCGCGAGUACUAUCAAAAGGAGUUUA